GUCAGACACCACUUUCCUGUGCUCGCACGUGAAUACACCACCAGUGAAACUCCGCACGGAGCACAGCCACAAAGUGGGGGUCUUACUCCAUGUAUGUAUGGUAUGUCAAAGUACAGUCUACUGUCACGCAGAACUAAAAGGAGCAAGUGAAAUCAAAAAGAAAAGACUUAGGCUUCCUUCGCAGCUGCCUCCCUCCCCGAGCCGACUUCCGACUAGAGUGGAAGUCCUGCAAGGCAUCCUCCCUGCGCUUCCCGUGUUCAUAGUCCUUUUCAAACCAAGGCCUGCCGGGCACAGGCGUGCUGCCGAUCGCUCCGUGCUAGGGGUGUUCUAAGGGCAGUGAUGAGCUGGGUGAAGAAUGGCCCCACUCAGCUGGUGACAGGGCCCUGGGAGCUGACCACCACUGUGGCCACUUUCCAGUUUUAGAGGAAGCCAGAUGUCAGGACCCAGCUCGCACCCUGCCCCCCAGGAGGGAGGCUCCCGGCCUGAUGCCCCUGGGGGGGGCGUUCCUGCAGUCAGGGCCCCUGAGGACACUCACACCCUUGCCUGCCCCGCUGAGCCUUGGAGCAGAGGACAGGCGGCUUGUCCAGGCGCCCAGCAUACAGUGGCCCCACACUCUCGUGAGGAGGACUGUCUUACCACCAGCAGGAGGGGACGUGAGACCGAGGCCAAGUUCCUUCUCAGAGGAGGAGGCUUUCAGCCCAGCCCUGUGCUGCAGUGGGCACGGGGGUGCAUGCCCUCAGAGCCCGGGAGGCUGUUCCUGGGCUAGGAGUGCAGAG
rnacentral:lncRNA from 1 species